rnacentral:rRNA from 1 species
GUUUCCGUUAGGUGAACCUGCGGAAGGAUCAUUG